UUUGAAGGUUUGUCCACAUUUCAUACAGACCAUUAACUGAAGAUGAUACAAUAGAGGCAUUAGCAAAUAUAACAUGCUGCUCCUGAAGGUGAGUGAAUACUGUACAGAUGAGGCCUAAUUAUCAUCGAUGCAUGGUUAUGCCUGUAUAUUCCAUUAAGCUGGAUGAGACCUUGUUUUUUUUUUAAAUGAUACCCGAGCAGGUUUGUAUUGAGACGGCAAAAUAUGACUAACAUGCUGGAAAACACAGAUGAGCCUCUAUAUGCUCCAAAAAAAACAGUACAACCUGAUAGAAGAGCCCCCGCUGAGCAGACUUCCCUGCGUGCUCACAUGUGUUUCUGAGCCCUUCGUUCAGCAGACAGACUGCACUUUUGAUCUUCCUCACCACAUCAUGUGGAACAAGAACAUUUACUCGGCUCCAGACACUGCAAGUGGCUCACAAAACGCCAAGAGAGAUACGAGAACAAGUGAUGCUACAGGCCUCAGAUGUGGUAAUACAGCAGCCGAGCGCACGUGUGUGCAAUGGAAAACCCCAGAGAGGCAUCUGACUGAGGAUUCCUCAUUAUCCGCAAUUUCAAAGAAAGACAUUCGGCCUAAUUCUGCAGACAUUGCUUAUAAGCCCCUUAAGGAUGCACUCGCUUUUCAAAGACACGAUGAAAGGCUUUCGUCCUCUACCUUUCAUGAGCUUCUCGAGUCCUCCUGGAUGUCUGCAAACUUGCAUUGCUCGAUGCUAAACUUCAACACAACUGAACGUGCAAUCAGCUUAUCUGUCCACCGCAGCGGUUUCCUCUCGCACUAAACCUGUUGUCUCUGACGGCCAAUGCAUCUAUCGAAGAAGUGAACGGUUUCAGUGCUGUAGUACAAGACUGGGAUCUAGUUACAACCCUAGAGUUUCUAAACACAGCAAAUCAUCAAACGAAUCUGGGGAAAAUGAAGAUUUUGUCAGAGAGAUGAGGCCUGAUGGCAACAAAUUGGCUUUUGAUUGGCCUACAGAGAUUUACACACAUGAGAGUCUUGAAAUGCAGGAGGGAUCGAGUCAGAUUCACCCACUGGUGAUUCAGAGAGAGGAUAUACGGAAACAUGUGCGAACAGCGCAAACACGCACAUCUCAUCCAGGACAGGCAGGAAGUAGAAAUAAACGAGUGUGUUUUGAUGGGAGAUACCUCACAUCUCAUCAACAAGACUCAGCUGUGAAGUGUAAAGCUCAGGUGUGUUGAUGCCCAAAGUCCCGUAGUGAAGAAAUCCAAAACUAAGCAUUUCUGUCUUUAGCUGGAACCAGUCCAAAUGGGAAAUGUAUUUUGCAUAAAAGAUAAAAGAGCUGAAAGACUUUGAGAAGCAAUCUUAAAUGCCUAAGCAAAUGAUCAAACCUCAUGUUUGUUUUUGUUAACACUUAGGCCUUAGCGUAGCGUUAUUACCUGUUAAAACCUCACUCACCGGACAUUUCAUUUCUGAACUACAGUCAUACAACAACCAAAGUCAUUUAAUGUCGCCAAAUGUACAUUGGUCUGUUUCAGAUGUUCUUUAGCAGCACUCAGUGGAUGUUUCAUUUCUAAAGUGUUGCAAAACAAAUCAUUUUCCAUAAAUGUCGCCACAGAGGCAUGUGAUUCCACUGAACCUGAUUUCCUAAUCGCAUGGAUUUCUUUCAAGAAGAUUGCAUUUUUUUUUUCUCAGAGUAAUUUCGCCAUACACAAGAUGCAACCACACCUUUAGAAGAUCCUUAUUUGAUCCCAUCGGGAUCUGUUUCCAUAAGGAAACCUCUUCACACUCCAGGUUUUGUUUUACUAGGGUGUUUUGAAGGGAUAAUAUAUUUACAUUUAAUUUCAAAAACACAUUUUUAACAUAUUUCUUUUUAUUUGAAAAGCUUGAUGUGGCACCAGAGGCUUAUGAUGACUCUGAUGAAAAGAAAAGAGAAGAAAGGUAAAGAAAACACAAGAUCUGUGUCAAGUGCCAGUGCUUGUGAAAGCGUUUCUGACUAUUCUGACAGAGCUGCUAUCACAAUAAUUAUCUAGCUUGCUGUGACAUGUACCUGUAGUUUUGGCCUCGGAGUAACAGGUAAAUUAAAAGCUUUCAGAACCCAUGUACUGUGUUAGGACUGAGAGUGAGAUUGCUGAUCUAGAGAAUGGGCCCUGAAUGGUCGCAGAUGUGAGGAUCUGUACAGGUUUCGUCUGCGGUUGCGCAGCCUGAGGAUGUGGACCAGUAGACUCCGGUUCCUCUCUCAAGCCUGCUGUCAUGACCGGAGACGGGCUCUGAGCAGAGCUCUGUACGCUCUGAGACGGGCCGUCUACAUGCGUCGUGCGCAAACUGAUGCAGUGGAGAGGAGGACAAGCGCUUUUCUGCUCUCUCACAGUUUUUACCAGUGGAAGAAUCACUAUGAGAGCAAACACCUGGAAAACACAUUCAACACAGCCGCUCUGAGAAAACGACUCGUUCCUCCCAGCCGUGCUUCAGUCAUCCUGUGGUUACCUCUCCCAGACAUCCCUGAGUCACAGUCCUGGACAUGAAUCAGGACUUUCCUUUCGGUUUCAAUAUAGCUGUGCAUGUUUUGUGUCCUGACAGUCUGUGUGUACUGUACAAGCACUGGCUGCUCUGGAGGCAGGUGUGCUCGAGGUGGUCAUGUGUUCGGGGGGACAGGAGACUCCAGAGCAAAGCCUGGACCCUGUGGACAUCAACCUGGCAGAGGACACAGCUGUCCGCACAUCAGUACAGCUGCAGACAAACUGACUCAGUGCAGUGUUUUCCAGUCUCCCAAACGUUGACGGCAUCUUAUUUAAGAGAUUUGUGCUUUCGUUUUGUCGUUCUAGGAUGCAUUUGUUAUCAUCAGCAUGGAAGGACUGGAAGAUCAGGAACAGAGAGAUGAAGAUGGAGAAGUUGAUUCAGUCCAUUCAGAGGAGCCACCUUCUUCACUCCUUCCAUCUCUGGAAGAAAAGAGCAGAAACCUGUCAAAAAGACAGAGAGAAACGGUUCGUUUUGAGCCGGUGAGAGUCAAUCUGUGUCUCACACAUCUUCACCGUGUGUGUCUCCUGUACGGAUGAUUUUCAUGGAUGAUGUCAACUUUAUUGUUUAUAUCAACAUGAAUCAGGAAGCGGAGUACAAAGUGAAAGUCUAAAACAAGACAAAAGCACAAAGACACAUAAGUUGCAUCGGUUAAAAAUCAUUUUAAAAAGUCUCAUCGGUUGUCACUGGGGCGCCUUUCCAAAAGGCACACCUUUGUACCUAAAGAGUCCAUAUUGGUAACUUAAAGGUAUAAAAUGUACUAAAGUGAAAAAAAUGUACGCCCCAGUGAAAGCUUGUACCUUUUUUCCUCUGAGAGCAUGUCCAGAAUACCCUAUACUGCAUAAGUCUAUAGAAACCCCCCCCCCAGAGCACCCUGAGAUCGUGGAGGUGACUUCAGUACAGACAAGCGGUUCACAAAUCAUGUUUUGAGCUGAAGGUGUCAAAGUAAACUGGAGUUUUCCAGUAGAUUGCAGUACAAACUUGCUACCACGUAUUUGUUUCCUGUACACUUCUCUGUACAGACGCUCCCUGCUCUCCUGGUACUCCUGCGUUCAGAAGAACCAGCUAACACGAUUGAGCAGCAGAGCACGAUGGAUGCUUUCCAGAUGGACGUUAGCAGGUGGGUGAGGUGCCUGACACUGACAGCACUGAGUCUGCUGAGGUGACAGACUGUCCAAAUCUGUGCAGCAGCCUUCAGGAAGUGGAGAGAUGUCUCGGACAGGAAGCAGGACACCAGGAGAUGUCUGGAGAGAGUGCGCCUCCUGCAGGACAAGGGUAGAAUGCAGGCUGCGUUUGCAGUUUGGUGUCAAAGCGCUCGGGUAAGGAAGGAGUUAAGGAGAAUACGGGAGAAAUCACAGAGAGCUCAACUCUCGUGGUGUUUGUCAGCGUGGAGCGCCCUGGUUCAGUGCAGUGCAUUACUUCUGUGUUACUGUCAUCAGAGAAAGGUGCUGGCACUCAAGACGUGCUUUCAGCACUGGAGCAGAUCUCGACAGCUGCACGCUCUUCACAAGCAUUUUCUCAUCCAGCAGUUUCAUUCAAGACAGAGACACACAGGUGACAUCCCUUCAUGAGUGUGAUUUACUGUAUUUGCUUUCAACACUAACUGUGAUACACAAGACCGUUCAACAUCAGUUACCUAUAUAAAUCUAUAUAAAAGAAAUAUUUACCAAAUAUGGUAAAACGCUAAUAUUGUGAAUCAUCAAUACAAUUCAAAAUAACGCUUUUCUGUUUGAACAUAUUUUAAAAUGUUAAUGUUUUUUUAUGAUGCAAAGCGUCAUCACUCCAGUCUUCAUUGUCACAUGAUCCAUGUGAGGACAAUCGUUCCAGUAUGAAAUAUCUCUGAUUAUUAUCCAUCUGUCUGUCUUGAUGGAAGUGUUGAAAUGGAGAACAGGUAUUUCAGCAGAAGGACUAUCUGCCAGGCUCCUGCUCCACAACACUCUUCAGAAGUGGACUCUUCAGGUCUUUGCUCAUUUCUCAUUGAGAUUUCACAGAUCCGCUCAUGAUCGAGCUGUUCAGAGGGCUGUUCUUCUGGAGUGGGACAGACACACUCAGGCUGCUUUCUCUGAGCGAGUUCUGCUCUUCACAGACAGACUGGCUCAUCUUCAUCCAUCCUCCUCUGUCUCGCCCUGCUCAGAUCCACUGAUGUUCAUCGCUGCGCCACAGUAUGAGCGCUGUGUGCUGCAGAGAGCCUGGCUCACCUGGAGAAAGAGACACAUCAGGAACAGAGUAUCUGCUGAUCACGCAGCCGCCAUUAACAGCACGCUGUUGGCUCAGGUGUUGCAGGUGUGGUGGCAGCUUGCCCACAGGACAGACUCUGAGUCCUAACCAGUUCAGAUGAGUGAAGAUCAUAUCAGACUGCAGAAACUCACACACACCCAUUUACCCUGUCUAUUCAACAGGAGUACAACAACACAUUACAAACACUCCCUACCGUCCACUCUGGAAUGUUUUUCAAUGUUGGUUUAACACUGUUUGCAUUAGAUGAACAGUGUGUAGGGCCAAAUAUGAACACGUGCAACUAGUCCGAGCUAAAUUGUGAUUGAUUUCAGGUGAGACUGAUAUCUUUGUCAUUUUGACUGGUUGGUCCACCUAACUCUGAUAUUAGUGCACAGGUGUGGAUAAAUAUCUCCAGAAGAAUGAGAUAUGCGGGCGGUUCAGAGGGUUGACUUAUGUAACGGCCCUAUAGUGAGUUCAGUAUGAGUGUGUGUCGGGUUACUGACUCCUCCUCUCAUGUGCAACGACAACUGGAAGAACCAAGAGUGUGUUCAGUGUUUUAUUAGUAUCAGUAUUAUUAUUAAAGCUGCAGUAAGUGGCACUUAGCUUGCAGAGAUACUAAGCAUUUUUCAUGUACAAUAUGUAUAUAUAUAUAUAAAGUUUUGGUUUAGAAUA